rnacentral:rRNA from 1 species
AACGCGAAGAACCUUACCUGGGCUCGAACGGCCGGUCAACGAUCGUGGAAACACGGUUACUCCGCAAGGGGGUCCGGUCGAGGUGCUGCAUGGCUGUCGUCAGCUCGUGUCGUGAGAUGUUGGGUUAAGUCCCGCAACGAGCGCAACCCUUGUCCUGUGUUGCCACUCCCGUAAGGGAAGCACUCUCAGGAGACCGCCAGCGAUAAGCUGGAGGAAGGUGGGGAUGAUGUCAAGUCAUCAUGGCCUUUAUGUCCAGGGCUACACACGUGCUACAAUGGGCGGUACAAAGCGCUGCAAACCCGCAAGGGGGAGCUAAUCGCAAAAAACCGUUCUCAGUUCGGAUCGCAGGCUGCAACUCGCCUGCGUGAAGCUGGAAUCGCUAGUAAUGGCGUAUCAGAACGAUGCCGUGAAUACGUUCCCGGGUCUUGUACACACGC